AUUUCUCUACAUAUCAAUUUUUCAUAGAAAAAUUCCUUUGAGUGUUCUUGCCUUUCUCAUGGCUUGCUAACACUCAAAGUCCACAAAAUAAGGCAAUCACUUGUCAAAAUGAGAGCAGCCAGGAGGAUGGCUUGAAGAUGUUUAGAUGAUUUCUUAUUUCGUAUUAUUCUUUUUAGGACUACCAAUGAAUUCUUGUUAAAGUGAAAUAUUUUAUUUUAGUAUAUUCAUGUUGUGCUGUAUUAUUCAUUAUGCUUAUUUCUUGUUGUGAUCAUUUUCUGCGAGGUAUGUUGUUUUAUUUUGUGGGAAUUUGAUUAUUGGUUACAUUCCUUAACUUGAAUUGCGAUUCUCAUCAACAAUAUUCUUUCUUUAUUUUG
rnacentral:lncRNA from 1 species